rnacentral:tRNA from 1 species
GCCUGGGUGGCUCAGUCGGUUAAGCGUCCGACUUCAGCUCAGGUCAUGAUCUCGCGGUCCGUGGGUUCAAGCCCCGCAUCAGGCU